UGCCCCUUCUCGAUCUCUCUGCGCAUGCCCCCUCUCGCCCUAUGCCCCUUCCUCGAUCUCUCUGCGCAUGCCCCCUCUCGCCCUAUGCCCCUUCUCGAUCUCUCUGCACGCCCUUCGCUCUGUGCCUUUUCGCGCUCUCUGCGCAUGCCCCCCUCUCGCUCUGUGCCCCUUCUCGAUCUCUCUGCGCAUGCCCCCUCUCGCUCUGUGCCCCUUUUCGCUCUCUCUGCGCAUGCCCCCUCUCGCUCUGUACCCCUUCUCGAUCUCUCUGCGCAUGUCCCCUCUUGCUUUCCCUGCGCAUGCCCCCUCGUUCUCUCUGAGCAUGCCCCCUCUCGCUUUCCCUGCGCAUGCCCCCUCUCGUUCUUUCUACACAUGCCCCCUCUCGCUCUCUGCGCAUGCCCCCUCUCACUAUAUGCCCCCUCUCGCUCUCUCUGAGCAUGCCCCUUCUCGCUUUCUCUGAGCAUGCCCCUUCUCGCUUUCUCUGAGCAUGCCCCCUCUCGCUUUCUCUGCGCAUGCCCCCUCUCGCUUUCUCUGCGCAUGCCCCCUCUCGCUUUCUCUGCG